UCGGGGCCCGAGUUGUAAUUUGUAGAGGAUGCUUCGGCGUGGUCCCAGGUCUAAGUUCCUUGGAACAGGACGUCACAGAGGGUGAGAAUCCCGUACGUGGCCGUGGGUACCCGCCAUGUGAAGCUCCUUCGACGAGUCGAGUUGUUUGGGAAUGCAGCUCUAAAUGGGAGGUAAAUUUCUUCUAAAGCUAAAUACUGGCCAGAGACCGAUAGCGCACAAGUAGAGUGAUCGAAAGAUGAAAAGCACUUUGGAAAGAGAGUCAAAAAGUACGUGAAAUUGUUGAAAGGGAAGCGCUUGCAACCAGACCUGCCUGCGGUUGCUCAUCCGGGCUCUUGCCCGGUGCACUCUUCCGCAGUCAGGCCAGCAUCAGUUCUGGCGGUCGGAUAAAGGCGGCGGGAAUGUGGCUCCCCUCGGGGAGUGUUAUAGCCCGUCGUGUAAUGCGGCCAGCCGGGACUGAGGUCCGCGCUUCGGCUAGGAUGCUGGCGUAAUGGUUGUAAGCGGCCCGUCUUGAAACACGGACCAAGGAGUCUAACAUCUGUGCGAGUGUUUGGGUGUCAAGCCCAGGCGCGUAAUGAAAGUGAACGGAGGCGGGAACCUUCGGGUGCACCGUCGACCGAUCCUGAUGUCUUCGGAUGGAUUUGAGUAAGAGC
rnacentral:rRNA from 1 species